UCCAAUAAACCAAUCCAAAGCCACAAAUAGAAAAUGAAUUUGGAUCAAAACCAGAUAUAACAACAAAAUAAUAAUUAAAAUAAAAAAAAACAAAAAAGAAUUAAAGUAUGAAUCAGAUUUACAAUGCAAAUCAAAAUCAACAGAAACCAACAAACAAACAAAAAAUAAAAAGAAAUAAAACAUUACAAAUGAAACUACAUUAAACAUAAACUGAUUAAGAAUUAAACGAAAAGCAGAAAUUGUAAAAAGACAGGAAUAGCAAGUCCGUGCACAAGAGAGGGGUUUUGGGGGUUAGACCCAUCCCAUUGCCGAUGUUCCGUACACUAGACGCCCAGCCGCCCUGUAACGUUUGCAUAAACUAUUUGGUAAAUUUAUAGAAUUAGUCAAUCGUUUAUUAAAAAUAAGAUCCAACUAGAUUAGACUGCUUUAAAAUGUUCCGCUAGCUUGCUCAAUCAACACCGACAAAGCCAUUAUACGUUCAACACGUGUUGUAAUACCGCCGUCGAUGAGUCGCACAUGACAGAGACGGACCACGAAGAACCGACCAUCGCGAAGUGCGUAGAGGCAAACCUCGACAAACGAUCAUCAUACGAACAGCGAUCGUCUAGACAGUACCACGAAGGUUCAACUUUUGCAAAGCGUAUGGAAGCAAGUCUCGACAACAGAUCACCGGACGCUGUGCAAUCGCCAAGAGAGUGAGUUACACGGAGGCUUCAAGUAUGACACUCACCCGAAGUAUAUCGAACGAAACCAACAAUUUGGACGAGGGAUCAAUUGGCGCAUGCAGCCUCUUGCCUCAGUGCACGCUAAUCGCCGAGGAAGAUCAGGCGCAAUUUUGUAGUUCGUCCGUAAAGAACGUUUCUCGCGUCGUGAAGUGCCCAGCGGCGCAAUAACCAACACCGGACUUCAAAGUUACACCAAACGAGCUUUGGAAAGGGCCCCAAAAAAGGGGCCUUUUGUUCCGGGCCAUUGUGCUAUUCGUAACACAUGGUUUGGCGAUUCAACGAGCGGACAUAUACACCUUUACGUCGAGAGGAGGGAAGUUGCAGACGUUCGGCGAUCACGCGGCCGGCCGGCGGUACGCGACGCAUGAUGAGCGGGUGUGAAGAACGCGUCGGGACGCCGACGAACGUUCUGGAACGUGAACGUUGGCUAGGGAGCAAGCGGCAUGGAUACCGGGGCGCCCCGCUAAAAAGUGAAGCAGAAUUGAUUAACAUGUAAGUGAAGAGAACAAAGGUGUAGGAAAGUAGGGAAUAGGAGUUAGGAGGAGAAAAGGGGUGGUUCACUUCAAUAAAUGUGUUAAAUUAGAACUUAUCGUUUCACUUUCAAGUUAGUUAGAGAGCGGCCAAGCAACUUCUGAUGACGUCAGGAGAUGACUUAAAAAACUGUAACAUUGGCGCCCAACCAAAAAACCCAUCAUUAGGAGAAAAUUAGUUGCAAAUGUUUAUUUGUUGUUAAUUGUUAUUUGUCGAACGAACUAGUUUAUAUGAGAAACUAAGGUUAGAUUCGGUUGUAUAGUUGAAGAGAGACUUAGGAGUGCAAACAAGAGCUUUGUUAGCGGCAGCUUUUGGCCACGGUAUGAUGGCGUCUGAUCACACCCUAUUUGCCAGGACUCGCUGGCGCGAUUAUUAUGUGGAUUUGUGGUAUUUUAGCUUUUAGAAUAUGAUCUGGUGAGCUAUAGGCUUACGUUAUUUAGUUGGUUUAGUCAAACUUAUUCUUGAGGUCUGCUCAAGGUACAUUAGUGAUUCACGCUGCCGUUAACCGACCUCUUAUCAUAGCGUCUUAUAGUUCUCUAAGAAUUUUUCAAGAAUCGAAACAUUUUGAUUCUUGAAAAAUUCUCGUUUGUUGGGGGAAUUGUGUAACGUUUGCAUAAACUAUUUGGUAAAUUUAUAGAAUUAGUCAAUCGUUUAUUAAAAAUAAGAUCCAACUAGAUUAGACUGCUUUAAAAUGUUCCGCUAGCUUGCUCAAUCAACACCGACAAAGCCAUUAUACGUUCAACACGUGUUGUAAUACCGCCGUCGAUGAGUCGCACAUGACAGAGACGGACCACGAAGAACCGACCAUCGCGAAGUGCGUAGAGGCAAACCUCGACAAACGAUCAUCAUACGAACAGCGAUCGUCUAGACAGUACCACGAAGGUUCAACUUUUGCAAAGCGUAUGGAAGCAAGUCUCGACAACAGAUCACCGGACGCUGUGCAAUCGCCAAGAGAGUGAGUUACACGGAGGCUUCAAGUAUGACACUCACCCGAAGUAUAUCGAACGAAACCAACAAUUUGGACGAGGGAUCAAUUGGCGCAUGCAGCCUCUUGCCUCAGUGCACGCUAAUCGCCGAGGAAGAUCAGGCGCAAUUUUGUAGUUCGUCCGUAAAGAACGUUUCUCGCGUCGUGAAGUGCCCAGCGGCGCAAUAACCAACACCGGACUUCAAAGUUACACCAAACGAGCUUUGGAAAGGGCCCCAAAAAAGGGGCCUUUUGUUCCGGGCCAUUGUGCUAUUCGUAACACAUGGUUUGGCGAUUCAACGAGCGGACAUAUACACCUUUACGUCGAGAGGAGGGAAGUUGCAGACGUUCGGCGAUCACGCGGCCGGCCGGCGGUACGCGACGCAUGAUGAGCGGGUGUGAAGAACGCGUCGGGACGCCGACGAACGUUCUGGAACGUGAACGUUGGCUAGGGAGCAAGCGGCAUGGAUACCGGGGCGCCCCGCUAAAAAGUGAAGCAGAAUUGAUUAACAUGUAAGUGAAGAGAACAAAGGUGUAGGAAAGUAGGGAAUAGGAGUUAGGAGGAGAAAAGGGGUGGUUCACUUCAAUAAAUGUGUUAAAUUAGAACUUAUCGUUUCACUUUCAAGUUAGUUAGAGAGCGGCCAAGCAACUUCUGAUGACGUCAGGAGAUGACUUAAAAAACUGUAACAUUGGCGCCCAACCAAAAAACCCAUCAUUAGGAGAAAAUUAGUUGCAAAUGUUUAUUUGUUGUUAAUUGUUAUUUGUCGAACGAACUAGUUUAUAUGAGAAACUAAGGUUAGAUUCGGUUGUAUAGUUGAAGAGAGACUUAGGAGUGCAAACAAGAGCUUUGUUAGCGGCAGCUUUUGGCCACGGUAUGAUGGCGUCUGAUCACACCCUAUUUGCCAGGACUCGCUGGCGCGAUUAUUAUGUGGAUUUGUGGUAUUUUAGCUUUUAGAAUAUGAUCUGGUGAGCUAUAGGCUUACGUUAUUUAGUUGGUUUAGUCAAACUUAUUCUUGAGGUCUGCUCAAGGUACAUUAGUGAUUCACGCUGCCGUUAACCGACCUCUUAUCAUAGCGUCUUAUAGUUCUCUAAGAAUUUUUCAAGAAUCGAAACAUUUUGAUUCUUGAAAAAUUCUCGUUUGUUGGGGGAAUUGUGUAACGUUUGCAUAAACUAUUUGGUAAAUUUAUAGAAUUAGUCAAUCGUUUAUUAAAAAUAAGAUCCAACUAGAUUAGACUGCUUUAAAAUGUUCCGCUAGCUUGCUCAAUCAACACCGACAAAGCCAUUAUACGUUCAACACGUGUUGUAAUACCGCCGUCGAUGAGUCGCACAUGACAGAGACGGACCACGAAGAACCGACCAUCGCGAAGUGCGUAGAGGCAAACCUCGACAAACGAUCAUCAUACGAACAGCGAUCGUCUAGACAGUACCACGAAGGUUCAACUUUUGCAAAGCGUAUGGAAGCAAGUCUCGACAACAGAUCACCGGACGCUGUGCAAUCGCCAAGAGAGUGAGUUACACGGAGGCUUCAAGUAUGACACUCACCCGAAGUAUAUCGAACGAAACCAACAAUUUGGACGAGGGAUCAAUUGGCGCAUGCAGCCUCUUGCCUCAGUGCACGCUAAUCGCCGAGGAAGAUCAGGCGCAAUUUUGUAGUUCGUCCGUAAAGAACGUUUCUCGCGUCGUGAAGUGCCCAGCGGCGCAAUAACCAACACCGGACUUCAAAGUUACACCAAACGAGCUUUGGAAAGGGCCCCAAAAAAGGGGCCUUUUGUUCCGGGCCAUUGUGCUAUUCGUAACACAUGGUUUGGCGAUUCAACGAGCGGACAUAUACACCUUUACGUCGAGAGGAGGGAAGUUGCAGACGUUCGGCGAUCACGCGGCCGGCCGGCGGUACGCGACGCAUGAUGAGCGGGUGUGAAGAACGCGUCGGGACGCCGACGAACGUUCUGGAACGUGAACGUUGGCUAGGGAGCAAGCGGCAUGGAUACCGGGGCGCCCCGCUAAAAAGUGAAGCAGAAUUGAUUAACAUGUAAGUGAAGAGAACAAAGGUGUAGGAAAGUAGGGAAUAGGAGUUAGGAGGAGAAAAGGGGUGGUUCACUUCAAUAAAUGUGUUAAAUUAGAACUUAUCGUUUCACUUUCAAGUUAGUUAGAGAGCGGCCAAGCAACUUCUGAUGACGUCAGGAGAUGACUUAAAAAACUGUAACAGCCCUUUACCAAAAUUAGUCAAAAUCCCUCCCUUGUCACCUUUUCUGUGUACGGGCCUGAGGAACAGAAUCAUAGCAUAAACGAUAAGAUAUGGAACCAGAACCGGAACAUAACCAGGAUGCGAACGAGAUCAUAAAUAUUUGAAUCAGGAAAAACAAAUCGAGAGCCACAAAUAGAAAGAGGAUGACAAACAAAACUAUAUACGAAAUCCAAAUUGGCAAAAAAAAAAAAAAAGAAAACCAGGAUGGAAGCUUAAACCAGAUUCACAAUGAAAACAAACAAUAAAAUUAAAAAAAGGUGAAUGAAAAAGUAACAUCAGAAAAAAAGUAGAUAUAUGGAUGAACACCAAACACUACCGAACACAACCAGUUAAUAAAAAUGGAAACGCAAAGCAGAGCUAAAAAACACACAUAAAACAAGUUCAGAACCAUAGCAGUAAAAAAGUGAAAACUUAUUAAAUUUAUAAAUAUCAUGGAACUAAAACCAGAACGAAAACAUAACAAGCACCAUCAUCAGAAUGAUUGGAACUAAAAAAAAACAAAUUCGGAAACAUAAAUAGAAAAGAUAAGAAGUAAAAUCAGAAACAAAUAAACCAGCAAUUUCAUAAAAAAAAUAAUCAAAAACAUAAAUAUAACAUGAAUAGAGAUUGAAUUAGAAAUUAAUACCAAAACCACCACGAGAACUAAAACCAGACAAACCAUCUGAACCAGACUUUGCACUAGUUUCAGAACCAAAACGAAAAUUAUAAUCAUAAUUGUAAUCAGAAAUGCAUCCAGACUCUGUACAAGAACUGAAAAAGUACAAGAGGCAAAACGAAACUCCACAGCAAAAAAACAGAACGAAACAGUAACAGAAGUUUGCCCUGAGUAAGGUUUAAGCGACUCUGAAUUGAAAACUGUUAAACUGGUUAUCAGCUCACGGUCAUCAACUAACCUCAAGCAUGCGAGCUUUCUCCAGAAAACCAACAGCCACAUAACUACAUCCUCGUUAGUCUUCGUCAACUGUCAACCGCGGAUAACGGCGGCGACCGUACAUCCGUAGUGGAUUUUCGACUUACACAUUCCGUGAAAAAUGUGGCCCCAUAAGUCCACUGGUCGUCAUCGUGGUUGUAGUUGUCUUCCGCAAUU